GGGGAAGCUGCGUGCACAGUGCAGGCGGACAACUAGACACUUCACAUCUGGACUGACGUACUCAGUAGGAAAUGGCUGCUCUAACUACGAGUUCCUUCUCUGGCUGCUUGCCUGGACACGCCCUUGCUCGCGCUGGGCGCGGCACGCCCACGCAGGAACAAGGCUGCAGACAAAUGCGCAUCAGCGCACCUGGACCUGACGAGAGGGAGCGGCAUAAAAGCCAGCGGACCCAAGAGACCUUCGUCAGAAUUUAGCCAGUCUCCCCUGAUGUCUUCCCUGUUACCCGUGAUCGUGUAUUGCCUCACGACCCCCUCCCCGAUCUUUGCUUGCCUCCCUCGAUCCUCGACCACUGCCUGGACACGGACAUCAUUGCCUCUCUCCUGCCCUUGACUGACUGCCUCUUUGCCUUCCCCCUUGGAUUUGGUGAAAGAUUCACUCAACACACACAGACAACACCCACUGGUAAAUAUCACAUUGUUAAUUACACACAUCGUCCGCAUUCAUUCACUAGUGGUAGCAUACACAUCCCACACAUUCAUCAAAGGUUUAAGUAAACCUUCUAAA